CUAUUAUGUAUUCCACUAAAUGGGAGGUUCAGAGAUAAGCAAAAUGUCCUUCUUCUUGAAAGGCUUACAAUCUAGCUGGAGAAAGAGACACACGAAUAACCAACGAAAACAUAAAGCAGGGAAAGAAAAGAAACCCCCAGUGUCAUGAAUCAUAAAGUUUGCAGGGCAGCAAAACCACAGAGAGCAGCCAACUCACACCAGGAGAGAAGGGGCCAGGAAAAGGCUUCCAGCUUGCACUGCCUUCAGAACUGAAUGAGGCCUCUCUGUCCACCAAGUCAAAAACGGGAAAGGGAAGAGGACAUUCCAGCAAGCUGAAUAGAGGGGGCAAAGCCACAGGGCCACAAGCACCUACUACGGAGAAGUGUUAGUUCAGCUGCAAAGAGCCUGCGUGCCUGGAGCCAGGAAAGGCAGGGCUUUCAGGCAGAAGGAGGGAGGAGCUGGAGCCUAAAAGCCCUCGCUUGCCGGGACUCCCGGCCCUCCGCAGCCAGACACAGAGAGGCAACCUGCGGAGGCAGCUUGGGGGCGAGAUAAGAAGCAGAGCAGGGACCCAGGCCCCGGGACCGCCUCCAGCAGGACGGCCCAGCAGCUCAGAGAGAAAGGCCGGCGGGCGACAAUCGUGUUCUGAAACGCAGGAACUGGGACUUUUGUUUUGGCUCCAGGACGGGGCUGAGAGCGCACACAAUGCCCAGUGUUGAAACUCCCUGUUUGGAAGGAAGAACAGUUGCACAUCUGGGAAAGGUUAGGGUCAGACCCUGAAGCGCGGGGAGCGGGCACAUUCCUCUGAGACGCUGGGCCUUGACGUCAAUCGCGGCCGGGCUUGGCCGGAGCUGCUCCCGGCAGGAGUCAGGGCCCAUUAACUCUGCCCAGCGCCCGAGUGUUUAUGUGGAAAAUGUGAGGCCAGGAAGUGGCUCCUAAUUGUGAUUUGGAGGUCUUAACAGCUGCCUGGUCUCACUACCCUCCCCGCCACCCCCACGGCUGUGGGCCCAGCUGGGAAAUGAACUCUCCCAGCACAUGGUCACUUACAACACGGUGUUUGGACCAUCAACGUUUUCCUCUUUCAGACUUCACAGAGCAAGCUGCACUCUACACAGGCCCGUCGUGGCCUGUCCCCGGAAGCGGAGUGAGACGGAGCCAGGAAACCAGCUCCUUACUCCAAAUCAACCCAAUAUAAAGAAAAAGAUGGCAGAGGCUAAAAUGUGUAAGUUGGAAAGUGCUCGAAGCCGGACAUGCCACCCUCUCCUCUUAGAUCCAUCACAGCCUCAGCACUUCCAACAUCAUUAUCAUCCACUCCAAAUGAUAACUUGGAAAACUAGAGCCCUGCUUGUAAUUGCCAUUCUUCGAUUUAAUCUCAGGCCAAAGUGCAGCACUUCAUUACUAACACCAGGAGAAAACGCCUAAGAGCCUCAUAUAAUGAGCACUUACCCACAUACAGAUGAUCCACUUUAAGAAUAAUUAACAGUACACCUUAAGCCCAAGACUACUUUUGUAUUUGUCCCAUGACUUUCCCCCACAACCCACUGACCAGCCUCCUCUCCCAAAAGUACUGCUGAGAAGCUUGAGG
ensembl:lncRNA